GCACCGUUCGUCUAAAGAAGUAGGAUACCGGACUCCAAAUUCGGAGAUGGAGGUGCAAUUCCUUCACGGGGCC
rnacentral:tRNA from 1 species